ensembl:lincRNA
CUCCCGCCGCCGCUCCCCGGCCACAGCGAGGUCCCGUGCGGCGGCUCGGGGACAGACCAGAGGCCCCCGCCGGCUCCGGAGUCGCCGCGGCGGCUGUGACGCCCGAGGCCCCGCUCCCUCCGUAACACGCUCCCCUCCCCUGGAGGCUGCGCUGACCGGACAAUGGCCGCUCCGCCCCCUCCCCUCCGCGCGCACCCCUCCCAAGGAGUGGCGAUGGUCUUGCCCGGGGAAACCACCGCCAAAGCCCAGCAGCUGAUCAGCUGGGAUCCGGGCGUGCCACUUUGUUCCGCGCCUCGGAGUCCGGGGCCGUGGACAACGCCGAGAGCGUUGAGCAACGGGCUUCUGAGGCCUUCGUGUUCUAGGAACUUUCACAAUAUGAGGCAAACUUACCUUCCCCUGUCAGGGGAAGGGGACUCGGUUUCUGAGUACUCUGGGGCGCGUCACCCCCCCCCCGCAAAGCGAAUGGUACGCCCCAAGCGGGCGGGGGAGGAGCAGAUUAGUUGUUUAGGAUCCCAAAGGCUGAGGGCAAUAAGAUCUCACAAAGAACUGACACAAGGAGCUGACAUAUUAACAGGAAGCCAGUAGGUACUCUGAAAGCUCUUUCUCUAGUCACAUGUUCUUGCAUCUCUGCUUCUCUUUCCAAAACUUUGGGCUUGCUUAUCCGCAUUUCCAGAACCAGUGGAGACUAAUUAGUACCUGUGAACCCCAGUUGCCAGAAGAAAGAAACUGAAUGGUCCAGUUUAUGUCAGGUUUGUCUGCCCUUGGUACCGAUUCAUCUUUGGCCAGGGGAUCAGAUGGUAGUCAAGGCUCUUGUGGUACAAACUCAGCUGGCAGACAUCCAUCCUUAUAAGCUGCAAAUCCCAAAAAGAUCAGUUGUGUUCUUAGCGAAGAUCUAAAAGGUGUCUGCUGCAGAUGAAAAGUAGUAAACUGCAGCUGAAAUCCAAAACCAUAAGGAACAGUGGGCUUGUUCAAGAAAUUUCCAACAGACUCAUUCCUACUUAAACUAUGUCAGGCCUUGAUUUAAACACUGUCCCUCAAAGAAGCCUUCGCUCCCCCUCAAACAUGUUCUCCCAUUAUUAUCUGACAAGGCACAGUUUUCCUUUGUAACAGCUACCACAGUUUGUAAUUAAAUAUGUAUUCAUGAGUCUCCUCUCCAAAGAUCCUAUCGGUUUUGUUCACCAUGAUAUACACAAUGCCCGGGGCAAUUUUGGAAGAUGUUCUAUGAAUAGUUGUUGAAUGAAUAAAAAGGCACAAUAAUUUGUUAGUCAGUGUAAAAUUCAGAUAGAUUGAUAUCCUAAUCAGACUAUCCUAGAGAAAUGUGUCAGUCACCAACUCACCUUCCCUAAAAGACACUGAACCUCACUGUUCGCUUUCUGAUCACAAUGUGAAAUAAGACCCAGUGUUCAUCUGCUUUGUCUUAUGACAUUGCUAGUCCGCUAACUCUUCACUCUUGGUCCCAAAGUCUCUGUCUGAAGAGACUUGAUCUAAUUCCUGUAAAAUGCCCAUUUAGCUGGCUGAAAGCUCCGAGAGGACAUAACAUAUCAGGACAUCAUCAAAUUAGGGGACCAAAGUGUGGGGGUAAUUGGCCAAAGUGCUUUUGUCAUAAUUGUCUUGACUAUUUUCUAGUGUGGAUUAUGUUCCAGAUGAACCUGUCAUGUGACUCUUGGGAGUAGUUUGCAAUCACCAUUGGUCCAAAAGGAGCCAUCUACGUGCUCAGCAGGGGCUGGUGAAGAGUAAUAUUGAUGCUUCAGCAGCCAGGGCUCUGAAAGUAGCAUCUGAAGUUGCAGUAUGAGAAAGCCUAGUGUCACUCCAGGGCGGAGCUCACAAGGGCUGCCUUCCUGGUAAAAACCCCAGGGACUAGUUAUGUAGCCCUGGGAGACAGCACCAAAAAGAUGGGGCUUAAAAGAACCUGAGAGAAAGCAGAGGAUCCUCUACUCUGAUCCUAAUCCUUAGCCCCACCUCUUAACUCUGGUUCAAAGCCUUUGUAAUUCAUUCUAACCUGGAAUUAGCCUCAAUAGCCAAUCCAAACGCUGGCCUCCAUCUUCAUCCUAAUCUUAAUAUUAUCUGUAAAGUUUAACCCCAGGUUUCAGACCUAAUGCCACCCAUCAUUCUAGCAGUUUAACGAAGGCUUUUUGCCUGACCACCAAGCGGUUUUCCCCAGCUCCUCUUCCUUGUGACCCUUGACCCUGACCCACUCACAGGAAUACAGAACCCUGUAACAUUUUAGACUACUGGGGAGAGUGGGAGCCAGGUUCAGUAAUCAGGAAAAGGAAAAGAGCCCUGGCGUUUGAGGAAAAAGAAUGUGGGGCAUUUCUCACCUGAGCAGGAGAUGGGGACCCUGCC